GGGUCGUUAGCUCAGUUGGUAGAGCAGCGGACUUUUAAUCCGUUGGUCGUAGGUUCGAGCCCUACACGGCCUACCA
rnacentral:tRNA from 1 species